UGGGGAAUAUUGCACAAUGGGCGCAAGCCUGAUGCAGCAACGCCGCGUGAGGGACGACGGCCUUCGGGUUGUAAACCUCUUUUAGUAGGGAAGCGGUACCUGCAGAAAAAGCACCGGCUAACUACGUGCCAGCAGCCGCGGUAAUACGUAGGGUGCAAGCGUUAUCCGGAAUUAUUGGGCGUAAAGAGCUCGUAGGCGGUUUGUCACGUCUGCUGUGAAACUGGAGGCUCAACCUCCAGCCUGCAGUGGGUACGGGCAGACUAGAGUGCGGUAGGGGAGAUUGGAAUUCCUGGUGUAGCGGUGGAAUGCGCAGAUAUCAGGAGGAACACCGAUGGCGAAGGCAGAUCUCUGGGCCGAACUGACGCUGAGGAGCGAAAGCGU
rnacentral:rRNA from 1 species